rnacentral:tRNA from 1 species
GGCCGCAUGGUGUAGUUGGUCAUCACGUCAGUCUAACACACUGAAGGUCGCCAGAUCGAGCCUGGCUGUGGUCA